GUGGGUGGGGCAGACCUGAGCUAUCAGGCCCCAGGGAGAACUCCAAUGGCAUCUGUGUCAGCACGCCCACACCAGGCCACAACAACGGCUGCCGCCAAUGUCCCAGUCCCUGGAGAGGUCUCACCGAGAUGCACUCAGGGCCUAUCAGGAAUUGGAACCCCUUGUCUACUUCAGGCCAGUUGAGACCACCAACCCAUCAAUUGGUCCCAUGCAGAUAUAUGUCUGAUAAGUGACUUUUUGACAUCAAGAGGUUAAAACUCCACCCUCAGAGCAUUCUAACGCCACCAUUCUGUGAACAUGCCUCCUACAAAGAGGCAUGAAGCCUGACCACGCUUGCACAGAUCUUCAGUAACCUCAUCUCUCCUCACCUCCAAUCAUUUCGGACCACCUUGCCCCUGCCCCAUAAAUAUCCCUGAGUCCUUAUUUUCGGGGAAGUUGAUUUGAGAUUCAUUCUCCCAUUUCCUCACUUGGCUGCCUUGUGAUUAAUAAACCUCUCUCUUUCUGCAA